ensembl:lncRNA
GCUAGAGCUUCAGUGUUCAGUGGUCUGGGACAAGCAGAAACUCUAAGAAGCAGGGACCAGUCUGAGUUCUUACCAGGAGUGUACCUUCCGAGGGGAUGGUGAAGCAAUGCCAACUGCAGCUGUAGCAAGAGCAGCACUGUCACCACCACUCAACAGACAGAUUCUUCAGCCUAGAGUUUCACUCUUACAUUGAACAAGUAGAGCACGUUGCCUGGGAGUCCAUCUCAGCCUGAGCUAUACAAAAGCAGCAGUGGGAAGCAUUCUGUACUAACCACAGUACUACAGAGAUGCCCAGACACAAGUUCACUGGUACCCUCAACUACUUAGCAUGAUUUAAAGAUCUGUUAAUAUUGUUCUGUGGACAUCGGUUAGUUCAAAUUGCCAAAGGAUACUCAGACUGUCUAUGCUCAACAGACAUGCAAAUCUUCAGAGUGCUACAGACUUAGUGACUGAAGCAGCUAUCUUGAGGGAAAGCAACAAAAAAGUUGUAAGAGGAAGAAGAAGAGUGGUUUUCCCUAUGGUUGUAAAUAUGUAGGACAAUGAGAAGAGAGUGGGGAAAUGUACUUUGGGUGGCAGCCUUCCUGCAGGCCU